UGCAGUCGAGCGGACAGAUGGGAGCUUGCUCCCUGAAGUCAGCGGCGGACGGGUGAGUAACACGUGGGCAACCUGCCUGUAAGACUGGGAUAACUCCGGGAAACCGGGGCUAAUACCGGAUAACUCUUUCCCUCACAUGAGGGAAAGCUGAAAGAUGGCAUCUCGCUAUCACUUACAGAUGGGCCCGCGGCGCAUUAGCUAGUUGGUGAGGUAACGGCUCACCAAGGCGACGAUGCGUAGCCGACCUGAGAGGGUGAUCGGCCACACUGGGACUGAGACACGGCCCAGACUCCUACGGGAGGCAGCAGUAGGGAAUCUUCCGCAAUGGACGAAAGUCUGACGGAGCAACGCCGCGUGAGUGAUGAAGGUUUUCGGAUCGUAAAACUCUGUUGUCAGGGAAGAACAAGUUCCGGAGUAACUGCCGGUACCUUGACGGUACCUGACCAGAAAGCCACGGCUAACUACGUGCCAGCAGCCGCGGUAAUACGUAGGUGGCAAGCGUUGUCCGGAAUUAUUGGGCGUAAAGCGCGCGCAGGCGGUUCUUUAAGUCUGAUGUGAAAGCCCCCGGCUCAACCGGGGGAGGGGUCAUUUUGAAACUGGGGAACUU
rnacentral:rRNA from 1 species